GACGAACGCUGGCGGCGUGCUUAGCACAUGCAAGUCGAACGGUAAGGCCCUUCGGGGUACGCGAGUGGCGAACGGGUGAGUAACACGUGGGUGAUCUGCCCUGCACUUCGGGAUAAGCCUGGGAAACUGGGUCUAAUACCGGAUAGGACCACUGCCUGCAUGGGUGGUGGUGGAAAGCUUUUGCGGUGUGGGAUGGGCCCGCGGCCUAUCAGCUUGUUGGUGGGGUGAUGGCCUACCAAGGCGACGACGGGUAGCCGGCCUGAGAGGGUGACCGGCCACACUGGGACUGAGAUACGGCCCAGACUCCUACGGGAGGCAGCAGUGGGGAAUAUUGCACAAUGGGCGCAAGCCUGAUGCAGCGACGCCGCGUGAGGGAUGACGGCCUUCGGGUUGUAAACCUCUUUCAGCACCGACGAAGCGAAAGUGACGGUAGGUGCAGAAGAAGGACCGGCCAACUACGUGCCAGCCGCCGCAGUAA
rnacentral:rRNA from 1 species